CGAGGGGAUGUUCCUCUGUCUAUUGAAAUGACGGUAUGCACAACUCUUGGGGCAGUAGCCCUGACUCCUCUACUAACAAAGAUAUUGGUAGGGACUUACGUCUUGUGGAUGCUGCCAAACUUCAAACAACCAAUCUUUGUCCUGGACACAGAGUAAUAUUUGAGGGGUUUCUUGUAUACCAUUUCAGUUUAUUCUUUCUGUGCUGUUAGUACAUAUUGCUGGUUUCUUUGUGCGGUAUAUAUCAGCAGCUGUUUGCGGGUUUAGAGAAGCACAAAGACGAGCAAUAUCAAUUGAUGUGUAUUAAUCAAAUAGAAUAUAAACCUUAAGACAUGAUCUGGCUUUCUGUGAAUCCUUGUGUUCCAGUUUUGUUUCGGCUUUGGUCAAAUUGGUUGGUCUGCAAAAUUCUUCUUCGGGUGUGGUUUUGGUCACUUCUCAUUUCACCUCGCCGAUGGUUGCAUUGCCCGCAGCAUUGUUUGUUGUGAUUAUGAAUAUAAUGGGAAGCAGUCUGGCAUUCUUCUGGAGAUAUAUGUAGAUCCUUCUGACUCCAAAGAGACUCCUACAGUUGAGGUUAAGUGACAACUAUAGCACCCUUGCGAAGUUUUCCCUAACCCGGCAAUAUCUACUGUGAGUAUGAAUACAAUGGGCAGCAGCAGUCUGGGUGUCCUUGGAGAUAUGUAUCCUUUUGUCUCCAUUAGUCUCUUACAGUUGAUGUUAAGUGAUAGCAGUAGCAUUUUCUAAGUUUCUCGGAGUUCAGAUUCUCUGUUUUAUUUUUUAUGUGAAGAUAUUGUUAACUAAUAGUCUAAAACAAUGUCGUUUGAGGUCA